AAUAUGUGACCAGGAACGCAAGGAAUAUCCUGGGGAACCUGUUUUGCUUUGUCAUCUGUGGGCUCAUCUGUCAUGUGGUUACUGGAUCACCAGCCAUCUGUCCCACAGGAGAGGUGACCAAAGAUUGAGAUCAAACAAUUCCAAUAGCAAUGAGGGCUUAUACCAAGGAUAUGCACUGAUUUCCUCUUUUGAAUUGGGGGUACUAAUUUUGAAUGGGGAAAAGGAAUGAGAAAUAGAGGUGAUUUAAAGCAAAAGAAAGAUGUAUGGCUUGGGACUGGAAUGUCACAAAACUAUGGAGUAGAGGUCCUGUAUGGUGGACCUACCUCCGACCAGGAUAAAGUUCUUGUGAAGAUGGUCUCCAACUUAUUUGGAGAUGCAUGGAAAAAUUUGAAGCAGUAUUUGUAGAACCAGGAUUUUGAUAUUAGCGUCCAUUCACCUUAUUUCCACUUUUUAUAGGAUGGAGACCUAUAAUAGCAUCUCCGCCAAUUGAAAAAGCAGGAGGGGAAAUUUGGAAAUGGUCCCUAACUGCUGAGGAUAAUAUAGAUUUAGGCACAGUUCCAACUGGCAUGAACCUUACGAUGAAUAACGAUUCAGAGCCAUCCUCUGUAGUACAGUCCAAAAAUUGUUUCAACAACGCUUAUCUCCCCAGAAUUAAAGGAAAAGGAGCUGGGAAAAAUGAGAACAGAACUUUUUAUCCAAGCAGCUGAUUCCUGGGUUCAGAGAUUGGAAAGAGUGGUCAGACCUGGUAAAGAUUAGGAUGAGGAAGACCAGGAUGUGGGAGAUGGACAAGUUUGGCACUGUGUGGUAACAGAAUCUGUUAAUCCUUUUGGGACCAAAAAAAGACACCCAAGGAAUAUGGACCUUUCAUGUAAGAAAUAGAGCAUGUCUUUGUUGGAUACAGGGGUUAAACUCUAAAAUAUUGACAAAAGGCUGGCAAGGAACCUUUGAAAAAAAAAAAAAACAAACAAACCACACUUUGGUAGUUGAAUGAGCAUAUGAUCCAGAUAUUAAAGGAUGUGUAUGGACCUAGAGUGUAACUAAUUGUAUACAUAAAUCAGGAAUUCACUAAUCCCAAAUUAUUGAUACUAGAACUGGGGAACUAUGGAAACCAGAUGUACCCCAAGAAAAGGUCCUUCUAACCAAAGCACCCCAAGAAUGUAUAACCCAAGGAGCUUGGUUUGAAAAUGGGACUGAGGUUCCCGCCAUAGAUAUAGGAACAACUGUGAAACUGUAUAACAUCACUGAAAAUAUGGACAUGUGUCAAUGAGAAUGUAAUUGGUGUACCCAGAUCAUGUGUUCAUUAGGGCAUUGUGCCGAAUCUGUGUUUGAAUGGGAAUUAGGAAAUGAAUGGAUAAUGGUAAAGGGACAUUGCCAUAACACCCAAGUUGAGGGAUUGGUAGUAUCUAGAUGUAAACGUCCUGAAGAUCAUCAAUAUGCUUUAAGAUGCCAUACCUCAUAUACAGGGAAUAUACAACAUACGGAAGGUAAAACAUGGGUUAAUAUCACCAAAGUGACCCAGGAACAUCCUAAUGUAACCAAUUGUUCCCCUGAACACAUGGAAUGGUUAAAUCCAGACCGUGACCACAGGCACAGAUACAUAUAUAAUGGGUCCAGAUUUAAAGUUUUUAUAAACUUAUUUCCUGAAGAUUGGAUGAUUGACACUAAUUAUCCUAACUGUUCUAAAUGGAUUGCACAAUAUAAAACAUAUUGGAUCUGGGAUGUGGAAAGAAAGAGGAAUGGUUGAGAGAUACCAUAUGGGAAACACUAAACACCAGAGUGGGAUUGGGAAACACAUGGAGCUUCUCUAACCUAAUGGAAAGAAUGAGAGAGACUUUUAAGCAACUGAUGCAGUCAGUACACACCGGAAACAAGGGGAAACAAAAGAUGGGAUAUUCUGUGAUGGAAUUGAGUGAAUUACUGGGGGAAAGUAUUCUGGAUAUUGUUAAACAAGUAAGGGAUAUCCACUCAGGAUUAUCCUGGGGAGAAGUUUGUAUAGAAGUCCAGGGAACCUUGGGAGAACAAUGGAAAGAUAUCUUGGAACAGAGCCAAAAAGGAACUUGGUCCCAGACUCUUAACUGGGAAUUGAGUUACUACUCUUAUAUUAAUCAAUCAUUCCAAGAUACCUGGUAGGUGCAAGUGCAUACAUGUACCAUACGCCAGUGCACUCUUGUCCUUUCCGGUAUAGCCAAUGGAAAGGCACAGGAAGUGUAUCCGGUAAUAUUUCCCAGCAUCUGGGAAAAUGAAACAGGGAACUAUGAAAUAGUACCAGAAGGAAAUGGAUUAUGGUGGAUAUCUGGAUUAGGAGGGAAGCAAAUAUUAGGAGCCCAAUGGGAAUAGGGUACCUUGGUUAAAGAAGGAAACUGGAAUUUGGAAUGGAAAGGAGGUAAUCUCACCAGGAAUUUACAGUGGAAAAAUGUUUGGUGGGAAUUAUAUGAAAUAAACACAGAUAUAUGUUGGCAUCAAAAUAAAAAAGGGUAAUGUAACAACCACCAACAAAACCUGGUUCAUGAACCAAGGGAUGUAAUGUUUUUGUGGAAAUAUAAUUUAUUUCCAGUAUGAACAGUAUCAAUGGCACUGUCAGAUGACUAAAACCUUUAUGACUCACCUUAGAUUAAUAUUGCCAAAUUUGAGGGAAAUAGAGUGAAAUGAUACAGAUUGGAAUAUGGAGAUACAAACUAAAAGGCAUACUAGACAAAAUAGAAUGAUCAAUUAGACUGGUAAUAUCUGUAAAAGGUAUGCUUGCUCAAAAGUAUAAAAUUGUUGAAAAAGCUGUAGGAAAAAAUAAGAUCUCAAAUGUGUGCUUGGUACACUGUUGUAUGUCAAGUAACAACAUUGAAUGGAGUUGAAUGGGCAAUGUUAUUUUGGAUUUCUGGAACUGUCAUAUUAUUCCUUGUACGUUUCUCUUGUGGAGAUCAGAUGCGUAAGCACUAAAAGAAAAAACAAGCUUUGCGGAAAAUUUACAAGAUUGAGUUGUUGGAUUAUGCUACUAAUUAUCUUAAAAUAAUCCUUUAAAUUUUAUAGAAACCAGAAAAGGAGACACAUGAUCUAACAGUUAGCGUUCAAAUUGUGGGUAUGAUUGAUGCAAUAUUACAAUUAUGUUUGGUAAUUGAAUAUUAAAUGGGGGACUGUUGAGAUAGUGCCAAAUUGGUGUGGCCAUACUGAAUGAAUGGUGUGAGCAUAACUUGACAUGACUUAAACAUGGCUGAAUGGCUGCAGUGGAUCCUGGGAGCAGGUUCCCUUUAAGCAGAAGCAAAUUUGAUAAAGGACUGGCAAAGUCUGCACGUGUGAUCUAUAUUGAACCUAUUGGUUGGCAAAUAUAGGCCAAUGCACAAGUAAAUAUUGCAUGUAUUAAAUUCCAACAUGGAGCACAGGUCGACCUGGUUAUAGUGACCUUACAGCAAGGACACCACGCAGAGAGCCAGAGUGAAUGAUUGAUGAGUGAGUAAACAUGGGGUGAUCUGCGUUUGGGACCACCACCACCCAGCCCCUUUAAAAUACUAAUCUGGUAAAAAUUAGUAACCACAUGCCCACUGGGCAUGCUUUUAAGAAAUGUGACUCCUUCGAGGAAAGAGUACAAGAAUCAAGCAAAGUAAAUUACUGUGGUUGGGAUUCCUUAAUGGACGCUUGAAGAAGCAACACUGUAAGACAACAUAGCCAAAACUCUGCUCCAUGGGCUUGAGUAGGACUGUGAACCAGAGGGGUCUCAUGGCCACCAAGGCCUUGCCUCAAGGGAAUCCAAGACAGACCAGAGGGCUGAGAAGAACAGACCAGGAGGGAAGAAGCUGUCUAUAAAAUUGGUAACCACGUUCUCCGUUUGCCAAGCAGGAACUGCGUGAGGCUAGCGCAGGGCCUGUUUGUAUAUGUUUGAGAAUGAGAGACUCGCUAAGAGGAAUGUAUAGCUCUUAAUGUCUAACAUUGGAGUUAUGUGCUUAAUAUAACCCUUUACUGCUUGUAUCAUUCCUUCUCAAUAAAAUGCUGUGUAUUGAAGAUAAUUACUGUGGACCUUUUUCACUGAUAUGACAGUAAUCUGCUCUACCAGGAGCCAGUAAAGAUCCAUUUCAGGGGCAGUAGCACCGCCUGUUGUCAACACUAAUGUAUGCUGAUAUUAUCCACUUAAAAACAACAUUCUUCAUUAGCGUAAAUCAGUUUCCUCUCAAACAUCUUACCCAAUUGGAAAUGAUGACUUGCAUGGUGACUUUAGUAUGCAGUAAUAUUUCUUAAAAUGUAUACAGCAUCUAUUAUUCAGUAGAAUUUUCCAAAUAUUAUGCAGCACAGCUGAACUCUAGCAACUUCUAGAGAGGACAAUUGAAAUUAAUUGUUUCAUAGUACUGCAAAGGUGUGCUAGGAAGGCAGAGAAAGAAAGGAUAGAAAUUUUAAUACAGUGACUUUCAGUUCUGAGCAGUAGCAGAAUCAUCUGAACUUAGUUUUAAAAUCCAAAGAUACAACAGACAAUGUGGGGCAGAGAGCUUUCGGUGCUUACACCAUAUGGAGCAGUUGCUUAAGAUAGACCCUGUCAUAUAUAGAGCUGUGCAUUAGAGCUUGCUAAAUUGAAAUGAAAUUCUGAAGAGAGUUUUGAGUCAAAAAAAAUAAAAUGAUCCGUGAGGACAGCCUGUCAGAAAUGAGUAGUAAGACAAUUAAAGUUCCAUUUGAAGAGGUAUUUCAAAAUAACAUUUAAUAUUGUUAAAAGAAUUACAUUCAAAAAGAUAACAUUGAAUACACUUAAGGCCUUUAUUUCAUGUACCAUGUUUCAACUUCUGCUGUUCUUUGGCAGUAAUCUGUCAGAAAUACUAUCACCUUUUUCUUCUGGAAAAUUAAGCUUUAAGCCUAUGUGACUUUGAAGUUGCAGUUUCUAUAAAAACAACUGAACUAGUGUUUCUGCUUUACCUCACUAAUUUUGCAAAGAAAGUAUCAUUACUGGACACAUACUAAGCAAAAGUAUUCUUUUUACUGUUCCUAACGUCAGGCUUUAUGCUAAAGUUUCUUAGGGCUUGUUUAUACCCAAGUUAUAUACUGCAUUAUCCAUACCAAUAUGGCUAACGUGGUAUAAUCUCCCUAGUAUGGCUGCAUUCAUCAGUCUAAUCUACACAGCAUCAGAUCAACACAGCAUGGCAAUGCGCACUAGAGGAUGUGAUUUCUAAAGCGUACCAACAUUUUGUGCACUAACUGACUCAUACAGACCCUGAUGGCACACACUAAAAGUUCUCUAAGUGCACGUUAACAUAGUGAAACAGCACAUUAGGAAACUUUUAGUGUGCACCAGCUGGGUCUACACAGUCCAGUUAGCAUGCAACACAUUAGUGCGCUCAAGAAGUCACACACCUAGUGCAUAUUGCUGUACCAUGUAGGCAAGCCCUUAGAGUGCUUUAAAUGGAUACAACUAUUCCCAUACAAAAAAAGAGGAAUAAGUUAUACUGGAAUAAAAGUAUUUAUCUGCAUCCACACUAACGUAACUAUUUCAGUAAAAAACCCAACACCGCCCAUAACCACACUAGCACACAGACGACCAGUGAGACGGUCUGUAUCCCUAUGUUCACCCCCUUUUACAAAACUAUAAUGGAUUUUGUACAAAGUAUGCCUUGUGAGGUAUCAUUUGAAAACUCACAAUGUGCUGAUCAUUAUUGUCCUGGUACAAUGUGUGUGGCAGCAUUGUAUGUAAAGUUAAGAUUCCUCUGUAUAACGGUACUGAGACAUAUUUCAUGUUUAGAAAAGCAGGCACCAACAGGUUCCUUGGAGACAAAAAGCAAACUGUCUCUGCCUCAGCCAGGUGUCAGUGAAGUCAAAUGGACUAUCACCUGGUUAAGCAGCCAUUCUUUGGCAGGAAAAAGGGUGCGAGUAAAAAAUUUACAUCUUGGCAACAACAGCUGGAGGUUCCCAUCUCCCCAGACUUGUCUCCUAAACCCUAACUAGAGAUGAUUUUCAAAGAAAUAGAGCUGCAAGAAUGGGAAACAGAGGCACCCAAAUCUCUCUCCCUUCAUGUCUACUCACACAUCAUCAUCAACAGCACCUGAAGGACAAGGAAAUUAACAUUGAAUUGAGGGAAAGAUCCUGGCUGAAAGGAUUUCAGCCAUAUGACUGCUAAAGCAUGUGAUGAGAGAAACCUUUGCUUGUAUUUACUUAGCUAGUUAAGUUAGGUAUUAGUUUGCAUUUUGCCUUUAUUUCUUUGUAACCAAUUCUGACUUUUAUGCCUCAUUACUUGUAAUCUCUUAAAGUAGCUUUCUGUAGUUAAUAAACUUGUUUUUUUUUUUUUAUCUAAACCAGUGUGUUUGGAUUGAAGUGUUUGGGAAACUCCAUUUGUUAUAACAAGAUUUGCACAUAUCUUCUAUUAAUGAAAUGAUGGACUUUAUAUGAGCCUGCAUCAUCCAGGAGAGAGCUGGGCAUUACAAGAUGCACAUUUCUGAGGGAAAGUCUGGGACUGGGAGUUUGCUGGUGUUGUCCGCAGCAUAAUUCAUGGGUGGCUGACUAUAGCACUCAUACAGUAUAGCUUGGAGUGAUUUACUUGCUGGAGGCUGUGUGGGCAGACCAGGAGUGGCGACUCUCACAGCAAAGCAGUGUAAAAGGUACCCCGGGUUGAAGGGGACAUAGCUGUUCAUCAGUCCAGAUUGUCUGGGUAAAUGUCACAACCAGGCCUCAGACACUUAAAAAUAUAAACAUGUUUUCUUCUUAAAGGUCAGCUGACGCUGUAGUGCAAUUAAAUCAUUCUACGACUAUGGGUCGGUGCCCCCAGACACUUCUCUAGAGGUCCUUAAGGACCAUGAAAGCAAGCAGAAUGCCAUACGGAAGUUGUGGAGAUUUAGAGCUAAGUGAUAUGCAAGGGGACCUUGUCUUUACAAAGUGGCCUGCAAAAAUCAAGUAUGAGAGAGAACCUGUGGUGGAGUGGUUAAUGCUAUUUGGCUGCUAUGUGGGGAAACAUGUUUGAAAGUGACAGAACUCUAAUACUUGUGACAGCUGAAGCUUGGGAAGUCAAAGGUGAUAGUCCCUGUCUCACAGGACACAGAAAGGAGAGCAACAGAAAGAUGAAAAACCCAGGGAGACCAGUCCAGCACAUAAGUAAUGCUGGUACUGUAAGUGCAAAAGGAAUCUGUUCAGGCAGCUGUUUAGAUCUAUAACUGAACUGUGGACCUAGAAUGAAAGAUCUGGUGGUGAACCAUCCCGGACAGCCCUCUUGACAUAAGCACUUCAUCUAAGUUAGGCAGGAGAAGAAUCCCUCAUUGAAAACAAAGGGUGCCUCUCGACACAAAAAUUAGUUUACAAAUAAAAGCAUCAAAAUAUCCUGAGUGUAGCCUUAUUUUCUGAUUACAUUGAAUGAAAAAAUUUUAGAAGUAACAUAUGUACUUAACUUUAAUAAAUGUUCUGCUCCAGCUUGAGAGCGAUUUAUGAUUGAGAAGAGAUACUACAUCUUUGUACCCGUGAUUAGGCCAACAGCUUUCACAGAUCUAAUUUGUCAAUAAGUUACAUUUGGAAAGAAGUCUGAUAAUUCACAUUCAUAAUGAGUAAACAAUACUCCACUUAAUUUUAUUUUUACUAGUUGACUUAAUUGUACCAACGUUUACAAAUUAUUAAAGUUCAACAUUGGACAAUAAGUAAAUAACUAUUCAUUAGUCAAUGGUAUAGCACAAUUACAGUAAAGCAUGUUUUGCACAUUUCACCAUUUUAUUUUGUAUCAAAACAGAUGAAAAACCUAAGUUUAUCUGGAGGCCAACAAGAAUUGCAGAGUAGCCUCCCGUGUUUCUCUAUAAAUCUUG